rnacentral:rRNA from 1 species
AGCGAACGCUGGCGGCAGGCCUAACACAUGCAAGUCGAACGAACCUUUCGGGGUUAGUGGCGGACGGGUGAGUAACACGUGGGAACGUGCCUUUAGGUUCGGAAUAACUCAGGGAAACUUGUGCUAAUACCGAAUGUGCCCUUCGGGGGAAAGAUUUAUAGCCUUUAGAGCGGCCCGCGUCUGAUUAGCUAGUUGGUUGAGGUAAUGGCUCACCAAGGCGACGAUCAGUAGCUGGUCUGAGAGGAUGAUCAGCCACAUUGGGACUGAGACACGGCCCAAACUCCUACGGGAGGCAGCAGUGGGGAAUCUUGCGCAAUGGGCGAAAGCCUGACGCAGCCAUGCCGCGUGAAUGAUGAAGGUCUUAGGAUUGUAAAAUUCUUUCACCGGGGACGAUAAUGACGGUACCCGGAGAAGAAGCCCCGGCUAACUUCGUG